rnacentral:lncRNA from 1 species
GUUUGGGACAGCCCAUGCAUUUGUCCAUGUACUGCUUCUUUGGAAGGCAAUCAGGGCUUUCUUUCAGGGGCAGGUAUAAAAGUUCUUGUGAGAUUUGUGUAUGAAGUCUGCCUUCACUACCUGGAUAGGACUAGCACGCUUCUGCUGCAUGACUGCAAUCUUACUACACAUUUUUUUUAAAUUUUUCAUUUAAUUUAUUUAUUUAUUUCGAGACGGAGUCUGGCUCUGUUGCCCAGGCUGAAGUGCAGUGGCGUGAUCUUGGCUUACUGCAACCUCCACCUCCUGGGUUCAACUAAUUCUCCUGUCUCAGCUUCCUGAGCAGCUGAGAUUACAGGCACAUGCCACAACACCCAGCUAGUAUUUAUAUUUUUGGUAGAGAUGGGGUUUCUCUAUAUUGGCCAGGCUGAUCUCGAACUCCUGACUUCAGGUGAACUACCUACCGGAGCCUCCCAAAGUGAUAGAAUUACAGGCUUACAUUUAUUUAUUUCUUAUUUAUUUGAGCUGGAGUGUUGAGCAGUCAUUCUGGCUAGAGUGCAGUGGCCCGAACUUGGCUCACUGCACCUCCGCCUCCUGGGUUCAAGCGAUUCUCCUGCCUCAGUGUCAACAGUACCUGGGUAUAAAGGCAAGUGCCACCUUGUCCUGCUAAUUUUUGUAUUUUCUGCUCCCUGCCUCACCAGAUCCACAAGCAGAGAGGAGUUCAAGGCAAGGCAAUUCUAGGAAAGGUAAAUCCAGGCAAGGCAACUCCAGGCAAGGCAAGGCAAGGCAAGCCAAGGCAAUAAAAUUCCAGGCAAGGCAAGGAAAGGCAACUCAAGGCAAUUCCAUGCAAGGCAAGGCAAUUCAAGGCAAGAAAAUUCCAGUCACGCAAGACAAGACAAGGUAAUCCCAGGCAAGGCAAUUCCAGGAAGGGUAAGGCAGGGCAAUUCCAGUAAAGACCAUUCCAGGCAAGGCAAAGCAAGGCAAGGCAAGGCAAUUCCAGGCAAGGCAAGACAAGGCAAGGCAAUUUGAGACAAGGUAAUUUCAGACAAGGAAAGGAAAGGCUAUUCCAAACAAGGCAAGGCAAGGCACAAAAGUGCAAUUUCAGGCAAGGUGAUUUCAGGCAAGGCAAGGCAAGGCAAUUCCAGGCAAGGCAAGGCAAAACAAGGCAAGACAAUUCCAGACACGUUAAUUUGAGGAAAGGCAAAAAUAGGCAAUUCCAGGCAAGGCAAGGCAUUGCAAUUCUAGGCCAGGCAAUUCCAGGCAAGGCAAGGCAAUUCCAGGCAAGGAAAUUUCAGGCAAGGCAAUUCCAGGCAACGCUAUUCCAGGCAGGGCAAUUCCAGGCAAUGCAAGGCAAGAAAAGGCAAAAAAUUCCAGGCAAGGAAAUUUCAGGAAAGGCAAAACAAGGCAGGGCAGGGCAGGGCAGGGCAGGGAAGGGCAUGACAGGGCAGGUCAGGGCAGGACAGGGAAGGGAAGGACAGGACAAGGCAAGGCAAGGCAACACAAUUCCAGGCAAGGCAACU